UGGUCCAGAACGCUCAGCCCUGCCUCUGGCGUGGGUCGAACGCUAAGUGGAGGGGAUGCUCCCUUGCUCCUGGCUGAAGCAGUGCGAGGAGGCUGCUGGAAAACAACUGAUAAAUCCUCCGAGUUUCCCAGGCGGGGGAAACCCACUCUCUGUUGCUCAUGUGUGCAUGACAGAGAUGCUCCUCCGUCGCCAUAGCAACAGCCAACACAUCAGCAUCCUGCAAAAGGCCAGAGCUGCUUGUUUUCGGGGGACACAACAUCUUUAUUUGUAUGUGGUGCUGAGGAUCGAACCCGGGCCGCACGCAUGCCAGGCCAGGAAAUGGAACCCUUGAGAGAAGAAUGAAGUGUCCCCAUUCAAGGUCACCCGGGGAAGGUAGAAGCAUUAGUUGAAGCGGUUGUUACAUUAGCAGAUGUUGAAGAGAAAGUCAUCUGGAGGGUUAGCCUGAGCACCAUCAAAACAGGCCCACCUCCAUGGAGAUGAUGAACGCUUGUCAUGGACCAUCCAAAACAGCAGGGGGACGAUCACAAUGACACAAGGUACACAAGGGAAGACCUCAGAGCAUCUUGGGCUUCUACAACUGGGAAAGACCUUUGCGAACCUAACACGUGGCUUCAUAGGUCAUGGAGGAUUGCUGAUGGCUCUGGGAAAAAUGCCCUCUACAUGAGGAAAAGGAAAGUCUUAUUGGGUCUUAGAGGAAGAGACGAAGAAAAGACCCUAAAUUUUUUAUAUUUUUUACAUUUUUAUAUUUUGUAGAAUUUCCUAAAUCCAAAUCCAGUUCUCUCUUCAAUUCCAGGUAAAAGACUAAUAGUGCUAUAUUAUACCUGGAUCUGGGAUUGAGAUCCGAGGGAACAGAUGAGGGGAAGAUUUCCACUACAGUUCAUUAAAACCCAGGACACUUCUUGGCAAGGAUCCAGUGGAAUGUGGAGGAUUUCGGUUGAAGUAGACUGGUUGACAGUUGUACCCACUGAUAAAGAACUUCUGAUCGUACACAACUGACCAAUGACCUCCUAUGCCCAAUGAGAAAACAGUCUGUUCUUCCACAAGGAAAUUCUUAUUAAAACCUAUCAGAAAAUAAUGUAAUUAAUAGAAUUUUUUGAUAUAUAUGUUGUGUGUGUGUAUAUAUUUAUUUAAUAUUU